CGGAGGAAAAGAAACCAACCAGGGAUUGCCCUAGUAACGGCGAGUGAAGCGGCAACAGCUCAAAUUUGAAAUCUGGCUCUUUCAGAGUCCGAGUUGUAAUUUGCAGAGGGCGCUUUGGCUUUGGCAGCGGUCCAAGUUCCUUGGAACAGGACGUCACAGAGGGUGAGAAUCCCGUACGUGGUCGCUAGCUAUUGCCGUGUAAAGCCCCUUCGACGAGUCGAGUUGUUUGGGAAUGCAGCUCUAAAUGGGAGGUAAAUUUCUUCUAAAGCUAAAUAUUGGCCAGAGACCGAUAGCGCACAAGUAGAGUGAUCGAAAGAUGAAAAGCACUUUGGAAAGAGAGUCAAACAGCACGUGAAAUUGUUGAAAGGGAAGCGCUUGCAGCCAGACUUGCUUGCAGUUGCUCAUCCGGGCUUUUGCCCGGUGCACUCUUCUGUAGGCAGGCCAGCAUCAGUUUGGGCGGUGGGAUAAAGGUCUCUGACACGUUCCUUCCUUCGGGUUGGCCAUAUAGGGGAGACGACAUACCACCAGCCUGGACUGAGGUCCGCGCAUCUGCUAGGAUGCUGGCGUAAUGGCUGUAAGCGGCCCGUCUUGAA
rnacentral:rRNA from 1 species